GUUCGGAUUGAAAGCUGAAAUUCGCCUUCAUGAAGCCGGAAUUGCUAGUAAUGGCAGGUCAGCAUACUGCCGUGAAUACGUUCCCGGGCCUUGUACACACCGCCCGUCACACCAUGAGAGUUGGGAAUACCCGAAGCCUGUGAGCUAACUUUACGAGGCAGCAGUCGAAGGUAGAAUCAAUGAUUGGGGUGAAGUCGUAACAAGGUAUC
rnacentral:rRNA from 1 species